GGGCGCGUAGCUCAGCUGGUUAGAGCGCUACACUCACAUUGUAGAGGUCAGGGGUUCGAGUCCCUUCGCGCCCA
rnacentral:tRNA from 1 species